GAUGAAGAACGUAGCGAAAUGCGAAAAGUAGUGUGAAUUGCAGAAUUCAGUGAAUCAUCGAAUCUUUGAACGCACAUUGCGCCCCCUGGUAUUCCGGGGGGCAUGCCUGUUCGAGCGUCAUUUCACCACUCAAGCCUCGCUUGGUAUUGGGCAACGCGGUCCGCCGCGUGCCUCAAAUCGACCGGCUGGGUCUUCUGUCCCCUAAGCGUUGUGGAAACUAUUCGCUAAAGGGUGUUCGGGAGGCUACGCCGUAAAACAACCCCAUUUCUAAGGUUGACCUCGGAUCAGGUAGGGAUACCCGCUGAACUUAAGCAUAUCAAUAAGCGGAGGA
rnacentral:misc_RNA from 1 species